CGGGACGGGUGAGUAAUGUCUGGGAAACUGCCUGAUGGGAGGGGGUAACUACUGGAAACGGUAGCUAAUACCGCAUAACGUCGCAAGACCAAAGGGGGGAACCUCCGGGUCCUUUGCCAUCGGAUGUGCCCAGAUGGGAUUAGCUAGUAGGUGGGGUAACGGCUCACCUAGGCGACGAUCCCUAGCUGGUCUGAGAGGAUGACCAGCCACACUGGAACUGAGACACGGUCCAG
rnacentral:rRNA from 1 species